rnacentral:tRNA from 1 species
UAGAUUAAAGCCUGCUGUAGGGUGUUUGGUUGUUAACCAAAAGGUUGUAGGAUAGAGGCCUACUAAUCUAG